GUCCACCCCGUAAACGUUGGGAACUAGUUGUGGGGUCCUUUCCACGGAUUCCGUGACGCAGCUAACGCAUUAAGUUCCCCGCCUGGGGAGUACGGCCGCAAGGCUAAAACUCAAAGGAAUUGACGGGGACCCGCACAAGCGGCGGAGCAUGCGGAUUAAUUCGAUGCAACGCGAAGAACCUUACCAAGGCUUGACAUACACGAGAACGGGCCAGAAAUGGUCAACUCUUUGGACACUCGUGAACAGGUGGUGCAUGGUUGUCGU
rnacentral:rRNA from 1 species